GUAUUCUACAGACUGGCUACCUUCUUUCCAGGUCUCUUCUUUUCCCUUUUUCCCAGCCAGCAACCAAGAACAUUAACCAAUAAUUAUGUGUCAUUUCGUCGCAACUGCAUACGAGUUUUGCUCAAUUAUGCUCUUGUUAUAACGUUUCCAAUUCUAACUCGCUAAAGCAUUCCCUAACAGGCCUCAAUUCUGACAUUGUCCUCUGAUUCAGCCUCUUCACCCAAGGCGGGUCCUUCUGGGGGUGAUACCAUUGAUUCUCCAUCCUCAGACGAAGACAACCAUCCAGUUGCUCCAACUACUAGACUCUCCGUUGAAUAAGAUUUCCAAAUCAAAAGGGGGAGCAAAGAAAAAGAAAAGAAAAGGGGAUGGGGAUGAUGGGCAAGAAAUUGAGGAUGGCACAUCUGCAAAGCAUACUGAAGAACGUCAUGUAAGAACAUUUAUACCAACACUUCUUUUGUGUUCGUUUUAGUUUCUGCCAAUAGUUUCUGAUUGAUCAGUACAUAAAGCUGUGAAGUAUAUACCAUAGCCUGUUUUGGGAGUUGUCUGAGUUUGUGGGAGAAUUUUGUCCAAAGCUGGAUAUCACAUAAGAAAUGUUGCUUCUGCUAGCUAUACAUGGCUCCUAUAGUGAAGGAAUAUUGUCGUUUAAUAGUUAUAUGCCAACGAAAGCUUUUAUGUAUUGCCAAAAUUGAUGUUAGAUAACAGUGGCUGGUUUCAAACAGCAAAUUGAGGGAGUUUACCUUUAAUUUUCUGCUAAAAGCUAGAGGUGUUUCUAAGAGUGACAUCCUUCUUGGUUUCACAAGUGAAGGAAUCAAAUGGUUGGCAUGCCACCUCCCCCACACUUAAUGUCCUCUGCUAUGCUCAUUCUGGUGUGAUGAAUUUUGGUGUUGAUAUCUAAUUUCUAACCAUUCAUUGCAUUGAACGAUAUUGUAUACAGUCAACUAAUUUUAGACUUUCUUUCUACCACUAUUGGCGUGCGGAAUGUUUCUUUAAUAGGAAGCCCUAGCAUGGUUACUGGUUUUGAAUAUUUAGUUUUCUAAGGCCUUCAUGUGCUACCUACACUGUGGUUAUGUCCGUUCUAAUAUUCUCUUAUUAUCAAAUUAAUUUGUCAGAGUUCCUCCAAGAUCUCCCUGAAUUUAACUCUCUCUAUCUCUAUUUAUUCAGCUGUCUUUCUAUAGAUUGUGAUGAAUCAAUAUACAUGCAGCUUAGAUGAGGUAAUGCUGUUAUAUUUAAUGAUCACAUAACUCGUUGGAAGAUGUCUAGCUUGCUAUUUAUAUGCUUGAUAUUACUGACAAGCACAAUGAUGCUAACAGGCAUCAAACCAUUCAGUUUGGGCAUUAUCAUUGGACUCUGAGUCUUGUCAUGAUAAUAGCCCUAUACGGGAUGUCGAAAAAAGUAAAAUUGAAGAGUGUGGAAACGAUGAGGAUCCCAUUUCUUUGCACACUAGAGAAGUGUCUCCGGUAAAAAAAGGCCUCAAAAACUAAAUCUCUGAAAACUCCAGAAGGAGAGGGUCAUGCUCCAAAGAAAGGAAAGAAGGGGAAGAAUGAAAGCAAUAAUGUGCAAAGUAAAGGAAACCAUGGUGAUGUAGAAAUUACAGAGGAAGUCACAUCUGAGAAGCUUAUCAAUGCUCAUGUUUCUAUAUCAAGGUUACCAUUGGUGCUUUCUGAGAAAGUCCAGCGUUCCAAGGUCUUCUCUCUCAAUAACUUGUAGAAAUUCAAAUAAUUAAGGUUUAAAGUCCUGGGAUGAGAGAAGUCCAGUUCUGGGAAGAAGCAAACUACGCACUGCCGGCUGCUUAUUUUUGUAUUGCUUAGUUAUUUGGUCUCUUGGCACUUGUUGAGUGUGAAGGUGAAUCCAUUGAUCUAAGUGGUGAAAUGGGGGCUGUUGGGCGACCAGUGAUUCCAGAUACCCCAUCUGGAGAUUCUGAAAUGCACCUAGACUUGAAAGGCACAAUAUACAGAACAACAACAGUUCCUUCCAGAACGUUUUACGUUGUAUGUCAGGGAUCUCUACUUGAAUUCUUCAUAAACAACUGCCCUCUUUUCACUUUCCCGUCCCCAUCUUGGUCCCCCAUGAUUUCCAUGGGUUCUGUUCUACAUUUUACUUUUGAAAGGGAUGAUUGCGUGAUAUAGCAUGUUUCCCUUCCGGUUCAGGUUAGCUUUGGUCAAUCCAAGGCAAAGAUAGAGGCUACCAUGAAUGACUUCAUUCAGCUUAAAACGCAGUAAUGUUUAUGAAUAUGAAACUACAGUUGAAGGAACGCUUGAGGGUUUUUCUUUCUUUUCUGAAGAUGAGACUGACAAGAUAACAAAGGCUACUGCUCAUCAAACCGAUCAGAAUAUGGACGUUGAAGAACCAUCCAAUGGAAUGAUUAAGAGAAAAGCUGAGAAAUCAUCUGGAGUGGCUCGAAAGAAAGGUAAAACUGCGGGAGGAAAGCCGUGCAACGUAUGAUAUAUCAUACAUGCUUGCAUAAAUCAUGAACCAUUAAUGACCGGAUAUAACGUAGCUGAUUGAGGUUGAUAUAGAAAUCACAAUUAGAUUAGUUUUCUUUACUUGCUGGAUUUAAUCAUCAUAGCUUAUUUAAUUUAUUUUGGAAGAAAAUGAUGGUUAUUUUAAGUU